rnacentral:rRNA from 1 species
UACGUAGGGUCCGAGCGUUGUCCGGAUUCAUUGGGCGUAAAGAGCUCGUAGGCGGCUCAGUAAGUCGGAUGUGAAAACUCAGGGCUCAACCCGGAGACGCCAUCUGAUACUGCUGUGGCUUGAGUCUGGUAGGGGAGCACGGAAUACCUGGUGUAGCGGUGAAAUGCGCAGAUAUCAGGAGGAACACCGGUGGCGAAGGCGGAUCUCUGGGCCUGUUCUGACGCUGAGGCGCGAAAGCUAGGGGAGCGAACAGG